GUCGUGGUAGUUUAACAAAACAUUAGCUUGUGACGCUAAAAAUGGAAUUUUUCCCCGCGGC
rnacentral:tRNA from 1 species